CCUACGGGCGGCAGCAGUGGGGAAUAUUGGACAAUGGGGGGAACCCUGAUCCAGCCAUGCCGCGUGUGUGAAGAAGGCCUUUUGGUUGUAAAGCACUUUAAGCGAGGAGGAGGCUACUGGUAUUAAUACUACCGGAUAGUGGACGUUACUCGCAGAAUAAGCACCGGCUAACUCUGUGCCAGCAGCCGCGGUAAUACAGAGGGUGCGAGCGUUAAUCGGAUUUACUGGGCGUAAAGCGUGCGUAGGCGGCUUUUUAAGUCGGAUGUGAAAUCCCUGAGCUUAACUUAGGAAUUGCAUUCGAUACUGGGAGGCUAGAGUAUGGGAGAGGAUGGUAGAAUUCCAGGUGUAGCGGUGAAAUGCGUAGAGAUCUGGAGGAAUACCGAUGGCGAAGGCAGCCAUCUGGCCUAAUACUGACGCUGAGGUACGAAAGCAUGGGGAGCAAACAGGAUUAGAUACCCGAGUAGUC
rnacentral:rRNA from 1 species